ACGUCAUCCCCACCUUCCUCCGGUUUGUCACCGGCAGUCUCCUUAGAGUUCCCGACAUUACUCGCUGGCAACUAAGGACAAGGGUUGCGCUCGUUGCGGGACUUAACCCAACAUCUCACGACACGAGCUGACGACAGCCAUGCAGCACCUGUGUUCCGAUUCCCGAAGGCACUCCCGCAUCUCUGCAGGAUUCCGGACAUGUCAAGGCCAGGUAAGGUUCUUCGCGUUGCAUCGAAUUAAACCACAUACUCCACCGCUUGUGCGGGCCCCCGUCAAUUCCUUUGAGUUUCAGUCUUGCGACCGUACUCCCCAGGCGGCGAACUUAACGCGUUAGCUUCGACACUGAUCUCCGAGUUGAGACCAACAUCCAGUUCGCAUCGUUUAGGGCGUGGACUACCAG
rnacentral:misc_RNA from 1 species